rnacentral:tRNA from 1 species
GGAGUGAUGCUCGAGUGGUUGAAGAGGCACGCCUGGAAAGCGUGUAUACGCCAAAAGCGUAUCGGGGGUUCGAAUCCCCCUCACUCCGCCG